rnacentral:rRNA from 1 species
UACAGAGGGGGCAAGCGUUGUCCGGAAUUACUGGGCGUAAAGCGUCCGCAGGUGGCCCAGCAAGUGUUAUGUGAAAGCCCCGCGCUUAACGCGGGGAGGCCACGACAGACUGCUGAGCUCGAGGGGUGCAGAGGGUCGUGGAAUUGCCGGUGUAGUGGUGAAAUGCGUAGAGAUCGGCAGGAACACCAAGGACGAAGGUAGCGACCUGGGCACUCACUGACACUCAGGGACGACAGCGUGGGGAGCAAACCGG